rnacentral:rRNA from 1 species
UACGAAGGGGGGCUAGCGUUGCUCGGAAUCACUGGGCGUAAAGGGUGCGUAGGCGGGUCUUUAAGUCAGGGGGUGAAAUCCUGGAGCUCAACUCCAGAACUGCCUUUGAUACUGAGGAUCUUGAGUACGGGAGAGGUGAGUGGAACUGCGAGUGUAGAGGUGAAAUUCGUAGAUAUUCGCAAGAACACCAGUGGCGAAGGCGGCUCACUGGCCCGUUACUGACGCUGAGGCACGAAAGCGUGGGGAGCAAACAGGG